rnacentral:rRNA from 1 species
CCUACGGGAGGCAGCAGUGGGGAAUAUUGCGCAAUGGGCGAAAGCCUGACGCAGCGACGCCGCGUGAGGGAUGAAGGUCUUCGGAUCGUAAACCUCUGUUAGCAGGGAAGAACGGUCACUGUGCUAAUCAGCAGUGAAUUGACGGUACCUGCAAAGGAAGCACCGGCUAACUCCGUGCCAGCAGCCGCGGUAAUACGGAGGGUGCGAGCGUUAAUCGGAAUUACUGGGCGUAAAGCGCUCGUAGGCGGUAUGUCAAGUCAAGGGGGAAAUCCCCGCGCUCAACGUGGGAACUGCCUUUGAAACUGGCAAACUUGAGUGUGUGAGAGGAAAGUGGAAUUCCUGGUGUAGCGGUGAAAUCCUUAGAUAUCAGGAAGAACAUCAGUGGCGAAGGCGACUAUCUGGCACAUAACUGACGCUGAGGAGCGAAAGCGUGGGUAGCAAACAGGAUUAGAUACCCUGGUAGUC